AAUUCACAGUCUACAUCUCUACAUGGCUCUGUAGUGUUUUCACUCUAAUUCACAGGUCUACAUCUCUACAUGGCUCUGUAGUGUUUUCACAUCUAAUUCACAAGUCUACACUCUCUAUAUGGCUCUGUAGUGUUUUCACAUCUGAUUCACAAGUCUACAUGGCUCUGUAGUGUUUUCACAUCUAAUUCACAGGUCUACAUCUCUACAUGGCUCUGUAGUGUUUUCACAUUUAAUUCAAAGGUCUACAUCUCUACAUGGCUCUGUAGUGUUUUCACAUCUAAUUCACAGGUCUACAUCUCUACAUGGCUCUGUAGUGUUUUCACAUCUAAUUCACAGGUCUACAUCUCUACAUGGCUCCUAGUGUUUUCACAUCUAAUUCACAG
rnacentral:lncRNA from 1 species